rnacentral:rRNA from 1 species
GACAGAGGUGCCGAGCGUUAGGCGGAAUCACUGGGCUUAAAGCGUGUGUAGGCGGGCGGGCAAGUACCUUGUGAAAUCCCACGGCUCAACCGUGGAACGGCUGGGUAUACUGCCUGUCUUGAGCCAACUAGGGGCGAGCGGAACAGACGGUGGAGCGGUGAAAUGCGUAGAUAUCGUCUGGAACGCCGAAGGUGAAAACAGCUCGCUGGGGUUGUGCUGACGCUGAGACACGAAAGCCAGGGGAGC